rnacentral:lncRNA from 7 species
GGGCGCUCGCGCCGCUUCCCUCAGCGCGUGUCCCGCUCUGCCGUCCGCUCCUCGCGCCGCAGCUGGCACACGUGGGGAAUGACAGUAGUGUGUGGUACAUCUGAUCUGCUGCAGAUCCCCAGGGGACACUUCAUGUGCUGAAGCCUAGUGUCACUUUGUGUCUUAGGAUGUUGUGCAUGGCUGCAAACCGCCACGAGGCUCCCAGAGCUCACAUGCUGCACCAUGCUUGUGGUGUACCCAGAUGGAGGUUUGUUGUGUAUUACUCCAAAUAUACAAAAAUAAAAUAACCAUUGAUCACAGAGGGAUGGCAGGAUAUGCCUCUAAAGAGCUCUGCUGAAAUAUCCACAUAUGUUUCUGUAGGCAGGCUGGAGGGGUGAAGUCUAAGGAAGCGAUAUUCUGUCUUGCGCAUCUUGAACAUAGUGACUGAAGAAAGCAAAGUUCUUUGGCUGGCACACCUUUGAAAUCAACAGCUUUUUAAAAGUCAGGUUUUGGAGUUCUGUAUCUGUAGUGAUGAAGAGAUGAAAGCAGAGUUGGCUCUCUGGAAAAAUGCCUAAAUGAUUCUAUGAUUCUGUAACCGCAAGAAACGCAACUGUGUAUGAUCAUCUCCAUUGCCUGAUAGAAGAAAUUUACCAGGCUCUGUUACACCUGACUGUGAUAGAACUGGAGAGCUCUUGAGAUGGGAUCAACUUGCAUGCCAGAUAAGCCUGGUGUGUGUAAAUACAGAAAAAAACAACAAAUAAAAAAAACAUGUGUUCC